rnacentral:lncRNA from 1 species
ACCGUCGCCUGUUAGCACGCCGCCAUUUGUCGUGUUGUUGGUGUGUGGGUGAGGCCGGAAAUUAGCGCCGAAUUAUUGCUCAUCAAAGCACCACCUCCUCGCUGUAGCAGUGGGCGUCGCCGUCACCACAGUAUUGUUCAGGAAGCUCGUGAUAAUGGUACUUAUGGUCCUACGUUGAGGAACGCUCAAUCAAAAAAUGAUAUGAUGAACUUCUUUGGAAUUAAGCGGACUAAGUACAGCUACAUUUGUAUUAUGUGCAUCGCUCAUGCAAGACAGCAGGCCAGGAUGCAGGGACACACAGCUGCAGGGGAUGAGCUGGAGAACCUGCAGCGCAUUCUCCAAGAGACGACGGAAGCCAACGGAGGCCCGCAAAACUUUCCAUCCCAUAAUCGUGAAUGGAGAGCUGGGCGGGGAAGACGCGGUAUUCGUCGAGGCCCAGGAGGUGGUAUCGGCGCCACCAGACCAAGCAUUCCUGCUGUGGCAGGCCGCCUUUUGGAUUUUUAACAUCAAAACUCCUAAAAACAUGGUCAAUCUGAAUUGGUUUCUGAGAACCAAAGUGUUUGGUGGGGUGAAGGCGGAUGUGCCGCCAUCAGCGGCGGCCAUUGCGACCGUGAAGCAAGUGGAGUGAGAUCCCCGUAGAGCAUGCCGCUGCGGGGUGUCGGAAGCGUUUGCCAAUUCUUUGAGCCUUCCACCAGCAGGACUAUAAAUACACAUUUCUUGAAAUAUA